CAGUGGCUUUGGGGUCGACAGCACCGAGAUGGGUCCGAACAGCCCAGGGGAAAGGAACCGGGUCGGGAGGAGCCGAGCCCCACAACUUAGCGCCGGGACGGCCAGGACCGCCCCCGCGGCGCCGCCCCCGCCAGAGCGCCUUCCUGCUGCUGCUACCGCCGUCAGCGCCACCGCCGCCGCCGAGGCUGGGCCGGGGUGCACCCUGGGCGCGGGGACGAACGGAUCCAGCAGGAGUUUCCUCCGAGCGCGCGCCCGCCCGCCGGCCUCUCCCGCCCCCCGGCGCCCCUUCCUCUCCCCUCCCGGACCCGGGCUGCGCGAGGAGGGCGCAGGGGGCGGGCGGCGGCGGCGGCGCGCGGAGGAGGAAAAGGAGCGCAAGGAGAGGAGCGUCCCCGGAGAGAAGCCCGCUCUAGCUGCAGCCGCGAGUCCCCUCCCUCCUUCCCGCCCCGUAAAUGCGGAGAUGGCGGCGGCAGCUGCUAAAGGAAGCGCCGGUUCUCCAGCGCCACUCGGCGCUCCUACACCGCCCACCACGAGCAGGAGGAAACAGCCGCUGCGAAGCGGCUGCUGGGUCAAUAGGCGCCCGCAGCCCCCGAGCCGAACAGGCGACUGGCCCCGCCCCCUCUCGACGCGCCGGAAUAGGGGCGGGGCCUCCGGCGCCCAAUCACAGUGCGCCGCCCAUCGGGCCCGCCCAGCGCCCGCCUCCCUGCGCCCAGGCGGAGAGAAGACCUCAGAGGGCUUUUGUGAGCUGGCAGGCAGCCUGAGUGGAAGUGAGGCCCUCAGAGGCCUUCAGGCGCCAGCAGCCCCGGUUCCACAGGGGCUGAGCUUUCUCCCCACUUCCUUUUUGCUGCCCAGGUUUCCUGUCCUUGAGAACCCGGGCCUGGCGUGCCUGGGACGGCAACUCGGUGAGGGGCUGUAGGAAUAGAGGGAGAAAGGGGCUUUGCGUUCUCUUCAGACUCAUCUUUUCCUCUGUUGCUUUUGGUGACUUCUUGGUGAAACCUGAGGGAAAGGAGACUGCCAAACGACAGCUGGCUACAGAGUUUCUGAGUGGAGUCUAAGAAGUGAUGCUUAUGCGGGUUAUUGCUCUGUUGCCGCGCUGUUCCAAAUCCGCCCUUUUUGACUGCACGGUGAAAAUGGAUCUGGGCCCUUUUAAGCAUCUCGUGUUUUCUUCUGGCAUCCAUGAAACAGUGACAGGCCCAGACCCUUCGCAGAUCCUGAAACUACUCACCAGCCUAGGAGAAUUAUGCCAUUGUUGGCAUAAUCUUCACCUCCCUAUGCUUUCCCUUCCAUGAAAGGAAGCUGAGAGAGAAGAUGAAUCAAGUAACAUAAUAAACUUCUGAGAAG